GCCUAGAUAGCUUGGAAAGUAGAGCGUCUGUCUUGUAAGCGCUAGGUCGCGAGUUCGAUUCCCGCCCGGGGCG
rnacentral:tRNA from 1 species